CCAGCCAGCAACGGCAAACAGCGCAGGUCCGCUUCCCGUCUGUGGAAGCUUUGUUCUUUCGCUCUUGACAAUAAAUCUUAAUGCUGCUCUCUCUUUGGGUCCAUGCCAUCUUUAAGAGCUGUGACACUUACAGCCAAGGUCCGGGGCUCCAUUCUUGAAGUCAGCGAGACCACGAAUCCACCGGAAGGAGCAAACUCUGGACAUGGCAUGUGCUUUUGCAGGAAGGACGCUGGACUCUUGCACUAUAAGUUGAAAACAUCGCUUAUAAACAAUACAUCACAGCACACUUGCAGAGAGAGCACUGGUUCAUCAAAAUAAGAUAUGAUCAAGGUACAAAAGAGUUAAAGAAGCUAUUUAUUUUAAUGUUUCCUUGGAGAGCACACUUGUUAUUGUAUGUAUGCAAAAGAUGAUCUUACUCUUGAGAGCCACUAGAACUCUUUGAAGAAAAAAAAAUGCUAUUUGCUAUAGGGAAAUCUUUCUGGAAAAGUAAUAAUUUCACCUUUGAGUCAGCUUCCCUGGACUCUUGCCUCAUACAUCUUCAGCCAAGAUGCCUGCCCCAGCUUUGCCUUCCACCAUGAGUAAAAGCUUCCCAAGUCCUCCCCAGAAGCAGAUGCUGGCGCUAUGCUUCUGGUACAGCCUGAAAAACCUUGAGCCAAUUAAACCUCAGUGAGCUCAAGAUGUCUUUGUUGAAACAGAACCUCCCGAAGUUACAGUAUUGGUUUUGGGGCUCCACACAGAGAACACAUCACGGAAGCUAUAAUUGAGGAAGACAAAGCUGUCAGGACGACACCAAGAGAGUUAGAAAGCCCAAGAGUGGAGCAUUCUUCACCAUGAUUCCACCUGACACUUGGCUGAAAGCAUUUUGCACUAAUUUGCUUUGUGCCCGUUCAGACAAUCUAAAAAGAAAGGAUGGGGGGACAACAAGUGUCUAUUACACAGAAUAAACAGCCUCUGGCAAAUGAAUACAUUUUACACACUUGUGCUUUUGGAGGGAUGGGGUAGUGAUGAGGGGAAGGGGAAUGGAGGAGGAGAAGUCAAGGAUUAGAGGUCUCUUCAGCAUCUCAGGACUGCCUCUCUCUCUCUGUGGUCACAGGGGUAGGUUUGGUCCACAUGGCAGACAUGAAACUCAAGAUACAGCCCUGGCGUAUACGGGUUGGGAGGCCAGUGCUGCCUCUGGUGGUCCCCCCAGACCUGCAAUUCAUAUUUUGAAUGGGUUUAAAGCCUACUUGGCAAUUACUUUUAUCCUCUAAUGAAAUAGAUUUGAACCACUUUCCCUUGAUUAUAUUUUAAAUGUUUACCCCCAUAUAAAUAUAACUGCUCUGAGGUGGGAGGGGUUAAGCCUCUCCUAUGAAUCAAUUAAAGA
rnacentral:lncRNA from 1 species